rnacentral:ncRNA from 1 species
UCUCAUCAAGAGUAGCGGAGGGAAAGGCCCUGUGAAGCUACAGCAACCAUUCAAUUUUGAAAAGGUGCUAAAUCCGACGGCAAAGCCGAAAGAUG